rnacentral:rRNA from 1 species
GCCGAGGACAAGCUUCUUUGCGAGUGUUGGCGAGACCUUGGACAAGACCCCAAGAUGGGCGCCGAGCAAAAGCAUUCAACCUUUUGGAUUCGUGUCCACCAAGCGUUUCAUGAGCGCAAGAAGUUUCCGCCUUACCAAUUUGUGAGCACGCAUGGGUGGAUCUCCAUUUCCAAGCAGUGGAGGGUGAUCCAACAAGAGUGCAGCAAGUUUUGCGCCACUCUUGAGAGUGUCAAGGCCCGCCCUGUGAGCGGCAUUGGCAUGCAAGACAUGGUAUGCUAG